rnacentral:rRNA from 1 species
CCUACGGGAGGCAGCAGUGAGGAAUAUUGGUCAAUGGAUGAGAGUCUGAACCAGCCAAGUAGCGUGAAGGAUGACUGCCCUAUGGGUUGUAAACUUCUUUUAUAUGGGAAUAAAACGUUCCACGUGUGGGAUUUUGUAUGUACCAUAUGAAUAAGGAUCGGCUAACGCCGUGCCAGCAGCCGCGGUAAUACGGAGGAUCCGAGCGUUAUCCGGAUUUAUUGGGUUUAAAGGGAGCGUAGGUGGAUUGUUAAGUCAGUUGUGAAAGUUUGCGGCUCAACCGUAAAAUUGCAGUUGAAACUGGCAGUCUUGAGUACAGUAGAGGUGGGCGGAAUUCGUGGUGUAGCGGUGAAAUGCUUAGAUAUCACGAAGAACUCCGAUUGCGAAGGCAGUUCACUGGACUGCAACUGACACUGAGGCUCGAAAGUGUGGGUAUCAAACAGGAUUAGAUACCCGGGUAGUC